rnacentral:rRNA from 1 species
UGGGUGUUGUUGCUACUUGGUUACCCUGGUAUUUCUAGAGCUAAUACAUGCGUCAAAACCCCACUUUUGGGGAAGAGUUUUUUUUAUUAAAAACUAACCCACCCCGGGUUGCCCGGUUUCAAGUUGAUUGAUGGUAAGCGAACGAAUCGCAUGCUUUGCCGGCAAUAUUUCAUUCAAUUUUCUGACCAAUCAACUUUCGAGGGAGGGGUGUGGGCCCCCGGGGGAUUUAAAGGAAGCGAAAAAUUAGGGUUUGAUUCCGGAGAGGGAGCCAUAAAAAACCCCUCCCCCCCUUUAAGGGGAGGGGAGGUGGGCCCCCAAUUUCCCUAUUACCGAAGGGGGGGGGGGUGUGGCAAAAAAAAAAAAAGGGGGGCCCCUCCUUUUUUCUCAU